GUCAGGAUGGCCGAGUGGUCUAAGGCGCCAGACUCAAGCCUUGCUUCCUCCUGUUUGAGGGUUCUGGUCUCCGAAUGGAGGCGUGGGUUCGAAUCCCACUUCUGACA
rnacentral:tRNA from 1 species